rnacentral:misc_RNA from 1 species
AUUCUUGUCUGGUUGCGCUAUACUUGCUCCACAGGUCGCGACCCGGUUUGCCCGGCAUAGCUCUUUCGUGAACUUGGCCGUCUCAUCUGGUCGCCAUUUCUGCGCACGAAGGCGAUUGAACGUCGCUUGAAAAAGACGCCCAAUCUCGCCGGUGCGAACGCAUGGGAGAUUGCGGCCAUGGCCACACCGUAUUCAGACAACAUUCCACAAGUUGUACCAGACGCGUCUUCCGGCGCUGCCGUCCCUGUCGUUCGCGACNUGUCGUUCGCAACAUCGGGACCUCCGAUCUGCGUGAGGCCUUGCGGCUGGGCUGGGAGGACUUCAA